AAAGCUACAGCGUGGGAAUAUUUAAAGCAGAGAUGCCGACAUGAUUUUGUGUGUGUGUAUUCUUAAAGACGAGCAUCGUAGGCCAGAGUCAAGUCAACUCAUUCUUGUCUGCGCAGAUCUCGUUGGCUUGGCUUCUACAAAUCAAGCUGAGGCUAGCAGGGAAGCGAUUCUUCUCUGGAGCCUCAUCGUCCCCGGCCGUUUCCUUCUUCUCUUGGCUCUUCACAGCUGCUACUUCUAGAGAGGGAGGAUUCGAUUCCCCCCAAGUGUUCCAUCUUCUCCAGCAGCUCAGCUCAAAACUUGUGCUCAAUCAUCAGAAAUGGCGACGGGGGCUAGCGGAGGGCAGCCGAGCGUUCUGAGCACAUUGCCCAAGGAUCUGCCGCUAGAUUUUCUGAAGACUAUCACUGAUCAGUUCUCACCAGAGCGUAUACUUGGUACAGGCGCAUUUGGAACUGUUUAUAUGGGGAUUGCGCCAGACGGGCAAAAAAUUGCGGUGAAGAAACUUGCCGAAAAUACACCAAUCGCGCGUGACAAAGUAUUUACUAACGAGGUUCAGAAUAUUAUGGCUCUGCAACUGCAUCAUGAGAAUGUAGUAAAGUUGGUCGGCUACUGCCAUGAAGCCCAAAAGAAAGUGGUGCAGAACAAUGGAAGAUAUAUUGUUGCAGACAUUGUUGAAAGUUUACUCUGCUACGAGUACUUGCCGCAGGGGAACCUUCAGAAGAAUCUUUUUGAGGUAUCCUGUGUAAUGGAUUGGGACACACGCUUCAGAAUCAUCAAGGGGAUCUGCCAAGGUUUAGCCUUCCUACACAGCAUUAACAUUGUCCAUAUGGAUCUUAAACCUGAGAAUAUACUGCUGGAUGAUAAGAUGACCCCGAAAAUUGCGGAUUUCGGUCUCUCGAGGCUCUUUGGUCAAGAACAAACACGGAUGAGAACACAAAAUGUUGUUGGAUCAUAUGGAUACAUAGCUCCAGAAUAUCUAUACAGAGGCGAGAUCUCCACCAAGUCAGACAUAUAUAGUCUUGGCCUAUUAAUCUUGGAGACCACCACAGUUGAGAAAAAUUGUUCCAACAAUGAACCAUCUGUGACGCAAUUUAUAAAAAGCGUACAUGAUAACUGGACGGAUGAGCACAUAGUGUCUCAGUGGCCACAUCUUGAUGGGGAUCGCUUUCAGCAGAUAAAAGUAUGCAUCAAAAUUGGACUAGAAUGUGUGGAGAUCGAUCGGCAGAAGAGACCUUCCAUAGAAGAGAUUGUCGAUAGGCUCAACGGACUAUGGUCAACUGGAAGUUGAAUGCCAUAUGCGGUAUGAAAUUACCUGGGCACACAAUGGCUUUCUAUUGUUAUGAUUUUGUUAGCCCCCACCUCAAUAUAAUAUUGCUCAAUGGCCCAGAACCAUUUAGUUCGUGAUGCAUUUCAGCUGGUGGUAACAUUCGUACACUAUAUAUGGAACUUCAGAUCUCCAGUUUCCACGGAGCAUGAAACUUCGGUCUUUUCAGCAGAGAUAUGGAAGAUGGAACAACAUGCUUCAUUGUUGCUACAAUGAUUUUGAAAUAAUUCUUUCUGAUGUGCGUCAUUGUGGAUCUUGUUUAAAAUACUUUCUUUUACCCAACUACGUAGUUAUUUCUUAAUGUCAGUACCAAUAAGGACACGACUAGGCAGCGGCGCCCCAGGGCCGAUUUCCCAUGUGGCGUCAUAUUUCCUCUUCUCUCUUGCGUGUAUGCAACAAUAUAUUGGCAUGACAUCAACAAUGAUUUCUUUGAUUUUGAAUUUUUGAAAA